AUAUGUGUGUGUAUUCGCUUAAAUAAAAAUGCAAAAGUGAUCUUUAAACAUUCAAGGGAUGUCGCACAUCCUUCUCCUUUGCCAUUUUCUCUUGAGAACUUUUAUGGAGUUUUACCGUCUGCGAUUUAUGAACACAAAAUCUUUAAACUCGCUGUCCUAAGAGGACUUCGAAGCGUAAAUAUUCAUGACUGAUAAGUGACAGGACACGUGAAGAUGGUUUCUUUUCAACCGGAUCGUGAGAUUGCUUUUAAACUUUCUCAUAGGAACAUUGACCACUCCAUUCCAAAGUCCAGACGAAGAAGUCACGUUUAUUCGUAUUACGUAUUAAGAAAAGUUGAGAGUGCCGCAUUAAAUAUGAUUUAUUAUCUGGACAAAUUUGAAGAAGCAACUGCUUUAAACGCUCAUACCGCCAUAAAACGAGGGAAAA